rnacentral:lncRNA from 1 species
AUUAAGGGGAAAUAAACCCUAGGAAAAAUAUUAGGGUUUUACGGGUUCUCACACUCUCCCCCCCUUAAAAGAAUUUCGUCCUCGAAAUUCCUUAUCAGCGGAAUCCCUCAAAUCUAAGGUACCCAACGGAUCAAGCAAAUGACAAGCCCAAAUUGCCUACCUAGGCUCUCAUCUCUUCCGUAUCCGGGCACAAGAAUCCCAUCUAAGAUAAUUCACAACUCGAGCCGGCCGGUCCCAAGAGUAAACCAUCCUUAUUAAAGAUUCCUACCCGACAUACAUACCUAGUUUCCUCGAGUCCCAUGAUAAUGAUUCGCACACUUAUCACAUGCCCGGUUCAUAACUUACGCUCAAACGAGCACUUAAACACAUUCAUGAAAUUAGGACCACAACACCACUUGGCCCAGUCUCACUCCGCGCAGAGACCACACGAAGUGGCUCUGAUACCACUUGUAACAGCCCCACUUUCCCCUAAGGCGAACCAAAGGGGUUAGCGGACUGCCUGCCCACCUCUCGCCAGGACUACGGAUCAGAUUAGAGCUAUCCGCUUCAACCCGGAACUUACAAACUCGCGUAAACAAAUCAAAAUAGUAAAACAACCCAAGAUAAAAUGAGAUGAAAUCCGGAGCCGGCCAUGAAUAAUAACCGACCCGUCAGAACCCAACCGAAAUAGCUAACAAACAUUUCAUCUGAUCUUUAGCGUUUACAAAUCAAAAUGACAUACAAAAGCUUUCAAAAGAUAAUACAUAUACACGGUUUGCCAAAUCAAAAGAGAAACGGCCCAAAAAGUACACUUAGGGUUUUAAUACAUGAGCUAUACAAAAGAUAUGUUCAACUAGCUCAAGUCGGCAACCGAUUAUCAAAUCCAGUCCAAAAGUAUUUAUUUUUCCUGUAAGGAAAACAAAAGGAACAGAACGGGGUGAGCUUGCGCUCAAUGAGGUACCAAACAGGUAGCAUUAAAAUCAUGGCAUUUCACAUUUAACAAAUCAGAUACACAUGUCAGAUGUAAAGCAAAGGAACCAAUGAUUCAAAUCAGAAGGAUACGGGUGGCUCUCAGGAGCCAAAUUUCCAGCGCAAUACUUGAUCCAAACCGGUUGACUCUCCGUCAACGUAUAUAGAACCAAUGCGUCCGUAGACCCCUCUUAUCACCGAAUUCCGUCCACCAAACACCCCUUUACCGGGCCCGCUCACCUCAAACGAACAAAAAUGGUAAUACUCGAGUAUACCCGGAAUCAAGGGUCUCAAUACCCAAAAUCCCCGAACAGACUACCGUGGUUCGUUAUCUAAUCGUCCAGGCCCUUGCCGGCCCGACUCGAAUAACUUAGCCACAGGAUUGAGCCAUAGGUCAUAGAAAUCCGAACAGAAAUCCGAACAGAUGCAGACACAGAUAACAGAUUCAAAUUUUGCAUAGUAAAUUGGCAUAUGAGCAGACUAGAGAACGAGUGUGAUAAAGUACACCCUCGUCUCGAACAAAUAAACAGAUUGCAGAGCAGAAAUCAAGUUAAAUAGCAAUGGAGGGGAGUGGUACACUCACCGGCUCAACUUCAAAAGUUUUCACUUCAGAUUGGCCUUAAUCGCCAAGAAACCCUAAAAUAAUCAAAAUAAAUCAAUUGAAGGUUUUACUUCCAGAAUCGAGUAAACACAAUGCACAUGAGGCUCGACUACUAGUCGUAUGCCUCGCCAAAAUAAUUACUAAUGCAAGGGUGGAAAACAUGAUUUUCUUGGAAACAAAAAGCUAACAUGAAGACUUAGGCGCAAACAACCCAAAAGCCUUUCAUUCUACCAAAAGGCAAAUCCAACUUAAAGGAACCAACGGCCUAGAAAAUUGGGCAGCACUUCCCCUGAAAUUCUUACUUUUCCAGCCAUUAAGGCUUCAUUAUUUUUCUUCAAUCACAACCCAACAACACACAGAUAAGCAUUUCAUGUCAAGAGCCGUUCCAUAGGCUCACAAUAUCAUAAAACAAGAAACCAUACCGAGCCAUAAACAACACCAAUUCACAACCCCAAUAGGGUUUUAUAAACAUAUACAAGCAUGAAAGCAAACCAGAAAUUAAGAAAGGGCUUUAACCUAAGCCUUGAUAAGAAAACCGGAUUUGACCUCAUAAUGCGGUAAUGGCACAACUCUCACUACAAAUAUCGGAUGGGGGUGUAAGACCCACCAUUUCGAAGCCAAGAAACAGAGCUACAACAAUGUAGAAGGCCUCUCAGUCCAAAUCCUAGCACAACUAGGUCAAAAGUGCCAAAUACCAAACCAGAAUUACCAAAACAGGUUUGCAAAACACACAAAACUGUAAUACGUCAAUCUCAGUCUACACAGGUCCAAAUGCCGAAAUUCCAAAGGCAUAAGUUAGCUAAAACAUCCAGCUACAUUUACUCAAAAGACACCAACUUCAAAAUCCAAACCAAUUCCAGUCAAAACAGGCAAUUACUAUCGCAGUUCGGACAUUCUGUGCACCAAAAACAGCAACAGUAAAAACGGCAUAACUCUCUCUAUACUACUCCAAAUGCCCUGAAAUUUUGCAGGCUCUUCAAAAUCAUCAAUACCUACAACUUUCAUGUUUUGAGCAAAGUCCAAUUCGGCCUCUAGCUAUGACCUAAAAUUUCGGACAGAAUAGGGGUUCAUGAACCCUAACUUUUCACAUUUCAUUCCAAAUCCAAAAUUGGUUGCAUUUAACCACAAUUCACACCUACUAGAGCCAAAGCCCCUUAUUACCAACCAUCAUACUAGUCCAAAACAUCAAAAUCAUAUGAAACCAGAAAAUUCAUCAUAAAAUGGAAAACUUCACCAAAACUCUUCAAAUCAAGAAAUAAAUCACAUUUUCCAACACUCAAGCCACUUCUAAGCAUAAUAUAACCAUCAUUAGAUGUAGUAGGGUGUUCAAGCAUCACUUACCAAGCAAUCAAGAGAGAUAGGGAGUGUGGACACCUUAGCUCUUCAAAUCAACUUCACUAAUACACUCAAGAGCACCAAAGGAAGGAAUUUCAUGGAGUAGAUUCUAGUUUAAGGACUUGAGUUGGGUGAUUUGAGCUUGUUGGAAGCUUAAGCUUAAACUUGGAAGAGUUUUUCUUUCUUCUUUGAUGAGAGGUUCGGCCAACACAAGGGAAGAAAAUGGUGAAUUUUGUGAAUUUUUGGAGAUAUUUAACCAAUUUUUGGUCAAAGGUCAAAAUAGUGAAUAGUAACUCUUAAAGUCAAACCAAUGGAAAAUUGACACUUGGCACUCUAAUAAAUGCAUUCCUAUCCUUUCUUUUCUCUCUUACAUCAAUCAAAUCUCACUCUCUACUUAUCUCGUAACAUCCGAUAAUUUUUCCACAGUAUCCGAAACUUAACCGUAUUGGCCGAAUUUUCCCGAACUUUUCGCACUCGUGGGUCCCACGUCCAAUAUAUAUUCUUAAUUUUCUAAAAACUAUCCAAUACGAGAAAACUCAUCUUAAAACUAUAAUUACUCAUAAAAUUCACCAGGAAAAUAUUCCUAAGCCAGAAAAUGCAGAAAACAUGCAAUUAAGGGGAAAUAAACCCUAGGAAAAAUAUUAGGCUUUUACGGGUUCUCACACUCUCCCCCCCUUAAAAGAAUUUCGUCCUCGAAAUUCCUUAUCAGCGGAAUCCCUCAAAUCUAAGGUACCCAACGGAUCAAGCAAAUGACUAGCCCAAAUUGCCUACCUAGGCUCUCAUCUCUUCCGUAUCCGGGCACAAGAAUCCCAUCUAAGAUAAUUCACAACUCGAGCCGGCCGGUCCCAAGAGUAAACCAUCCUUAUUAAAGAUUCCUACCCGACAUACAUACCUAGCUUCCUCGAGUCCCAUGAUA